CCUGACCCUAGAAGCAUUGAAGGUGUGACUGCUGUGUCACAUGUGUGUCAGGAGAUGGCAGAAAGAAGAGAGCCUGUGUCUAUGUUCAGUCUACUAACCUAAGAACAUCUGAAUGAUUAGUAACCUAAUAUU
ensembl:snoRNA LOC120099498 small nucleolar RNA SNORA17